GAUGAACGCUGGCGGCGUGCCUAAUACAUGCAAGUCAAGCGAACAGACGAGGAGCUUACUCCUCUGACGUUAGCGGCGGACGGGUGAGUAACACGUGGAUAACCUACCUAUAAGACUGGGAUAACUUCGGGAAACCGGAGCUAAUACCGGAUAACAUGUUGAACCGCAUGGUUCAACAGUGAAAGACGGUCUUGCUGUCACUUAUAGAUGGAUCCGCGUCGCAUUAGCUAGUUGGUAAGGUAACGGCUUACCAAGGCAACGAUGCGUAGCCGACCUGAGAGGGUGAUCGGACACACUGGAACUGAGACACGGUCCAGACUCCUACGGGAGGCAGCAGUAGGGAAUCUUCCGCAAUGGGCGAAAGCCUGACGGAGCAACGCCGCGUGAGGGAAGAAGGUCUUCGGAUCGUAAAACUCUGUUAUUAGGGAAGAACAAAUGUGUAAGUACCUAUGCACGUCUUGACGGUACCUAAUCAGAAAGCCACGGCUAACUACGUG
rnacentral:rRNA from 1 species